CGGAGAAGCCUCGGGAGAGUUAUAACUCCGGUUCCAAACAUUCCAAAUUCCUGCUUCUUCCGGCCUGGCCGGAAGCCGGGCUGGGGAGGGUGCGCAGGACCAGGGUGGCGGGGGGAUGGUUGCAGGCCGUUUUGGGGUGAAUCUGAGCCCCUUUGCCACCUCCCUUGCGCGCGGCUCCAGGUUCCCAGUGCCGAGUCUAGGGCGGCGGGUACGGGGGCCACGCCCUACUGCGCAGAGGCUGGACACACCCCAAGGCUGCACGGCACCCCAGAAGGCCCCUCCCAAGUCACGCGGGUCUCAGAUGCCCCGCAAACGCACCGAUGGGGGUGCAUAACGUGAACCCGAGAUGCACCCCAGCACCGGGUGUCCGUAUGGGGCACGGCGCCCAGUGAGUCAGGCAGAGUGGGUGUCGCCGCCGGAGUGAGUCACCGAGAGGGUGUGCGCCCCUCGUGGGCGGUGCCAGGAGCCUGGAGAGCGGGCUGUGCCCGCCCCAGGAAGACCACGCCCCAGUUGGGGACUAGGCAGAUUCCCCCCACUUCCUUCCGCGAAGCUUCCUUCUGCGAUCCAGAGAGGCUGUUGAGGGCCGGGGAGGGGCGCGUGAUGCGCCCCAGUCCGCGGCCGAGGGGCUUCCCGGGAAGGGCGGGGGCGCCGGGAACGCUGGCGGCCGGGUCCGGAAGGGCCGCGCGGCUGCCGCGCCCCCGCCCCGCGGCCUCAGUUUCCGAUGACGCGUCUGCAGAAACCCCGACGCGGCCCCCAGGCUCCGCUGCCCGGUUUCACUUCCCCUCCCCCUGCCCGGCGUGAGGCGCGGGGCUCAGACUGCCUCGGAUUCCGACGGGGGAGGGCACGGGGGCGCUUCCGGCCGUGGGGCUGGGUCGACUAAGGGGUUACGACGGGGCGGCCCGCCCCCGCCCAGGCCCCUCCUCUCCACGCCUGCGCCGGCACCGGGGGUGGGGCCGCGCGGUACCCGGCCGCCCCGAGAUCGACCCCCUCCCCCGCGAGGGGCGGGAUCAGGUUCAGGCCACGGUGGGGGCCGAGCGGGCCGCGACAACCCCCACUCCGCAGCCUGGGCGCGCGGUCCGGGGGCCCGGAGGCGGCGCUAGCUCGGGAAGGAGGGGGUCGGGCGGCAGGAAGUGCGCUCUCCCACCGCGUCCUGAGCACAGUGACUCCCUCCCGUCCGACGCGCGGGGGAGAAUUGGGAUGGCGGGAGAGAGAGGGGUACCCUGGGGAGGAGGCGCCUCGCGGGCACGUUGCGCUGGAGCGAGCCCUCGCUCAGGGAUGUUCAGAGGCCGAGGCCCGGCUGGAUAGGGCUGGCAUCGUCAGUGGCCGCUUGAGCUCCUGGAACAGAAACAGGCUGGCAGGUACCUUCCGGGCACCUCCUGUAGGCCACACACUUCGCCACGUACCGAGCUGUGCUGGUGAACAGAACUGAAGAAGUGCCAGCCUUUGGGAGAUUCCUGUGUGAGAUACAUGGCGUGCUGGCCUGUAACAUGUGCAGGGGACGAGAGAGUUGGGGGCAGGGGGCUUUGGAGCAGGUGAGCUAGGAAGGUCUUGUGAGCAGGUGAAGAAAAGAAAGUGUUAGUUGCUCA